UUAGCGGCGGACGGGUGAGGGCCCUAGGSAACCUGCCCUGUAGACUGGGAUAACUUCGGGSAACCGAAGCUAAUACCGGAUAAUCAUAGAAGUUGCAUAGCUUCUAUGKAAAAGUUGGGUUUACCUAACACUACAGGAUGGGCCCGCGUCGCAUUAGCUAGUUGGUAAGGUAACGGCUUACCAAGGCGACGAUGCGUAGCCGACCUGAGAGGGUGAUCGGCCRCRCUGGGACUGAGACACGGCCCAGACUCCUACGGGAGGCAGCAGUAGGGAAUCUUCCGCAAUGGACGAAAGUCUGACGGAGCAACGCCGCGUGAGCGAUGAAGGCCUUCGGGUCGUAAAGCUCUGUUGUUAGGGAAGAACAAGUACCAUUCAAAUAGGGUGGUACCUUGACGGUACCUAACGAGAAAGCCACGGCUAACUACGUGCCAGCAGCCGCGGUAAUACGUAGGUGGCAAGCGUUAUCCGGAAUUAUUGGGCGUAAAGCGCGCGCAGGCGGUCCUUUAAGUCUGAUGUGAAAGCCCACGGCUCAACCGUGGAGGGUCAUUGGAAACUGGGGGACUUGAGUGCAGAAGAGGAGAGCGGAAUUCCACGUGUAGCGGUGAAAUGCGUAGAGAUGUGGAGGAACACCAGUGGCGAAGGCGGCUCUCUGGUCUGUAACUGACGCUGAGGCGCGAAAGCGUGGGGAGCGAACAGGAUUAGAUACCCUGGUAGUCCACGCCGUAAACGAUGAGUGCUAAGUGUUA
rnacentral:rRNA from 1 species